rnacentral:rRNA from 1 species
UACGGGGGGAGCAAGCGUUGUUCGGAAUUACUGGGCGUAAAGGGCCAGUAGGCGGCCAACUAAGUCCGACGUGAAAUCCCCAAGCUUAACUUGGGAACUGCGUCGGAUACUGGAUGGCUUGAAUUCGGGAGAGGGAUGCAGAAUUCCAGGUGUAGCGGUGAAAUGCGUAGAUAUCUGGAGGAAUACCGGUGGCGAAGGCGGCAUCCUGGACCGACAUUGACGCUGAACGGCGAAAGCUAGGGGAGCAAACGGG